rnacentral:rRNA from 1 species
AGUGAACGCUGGCGGCAUGCCUAACACAUGCAAGUCGCACGGGCAGCCAUGUCGGUGUCGCACGGGUGGGUAGCGCGUAGGGACGUGUCCAGAGGUGGAUGACAACCCCGUGAUACUGGGGCUAAUACCGCAUAUGGGCUGAGCCCCAAACCCAUACGGCGCCCGUGGAGCGGCCUGCGUCCGAUUAGGUUGUUGGCGGGGGAAAGGCCUACCAAGCCGACGAUCGGUAGCUGGUCUGAGAGGACGAUCGGCCACACUGGAAGUGAGACACGGUCCAGACUCCUAAGGGAGGAAGCAGUGGGGAAUAUUGGACAAUGGGCGCAAGCCUGAUCCAGCCAUACCGCGUGGGGGAAGAAGGCCUGCGGGUUGGAAAGCCCUUUUGUUGGGAAAGAAAAGCAGCAGGUUAAUACCCCGCUGUUCUGACGGUACCCAAAGAAUAAGCACCGGCUAACUUCGUG